GACGAACGCUGGCGGCGCGCUUAACACAUGCAAGUCGAGCGAGAACCAGUCCUUCGGGACUGGGGACAGCGGCGAACGGGUGAGUAACACGUGGGUAGUCUGCCCUCGGCACCGGAAUAGCCCGGGGAAACCCGGAUUAAUGCCGGAUGGCCUCUCUGCCCCUCGGGGCGGCGAGAAAAGGUAGCUUCGGCCUCCGGCCGAGGAUGAGCCCGCGGCCGAUUAGCUUGUUGGUGGGGUAACGGCUCACCAAGGCGACGAUCGGUAGCUGGUCUGAGAGGACGAUCAGCCACACUGGGACUGAGACACGGCCCAGACUCCUACGGGAGGCAGCAGUGGGGAAUCCUGCGCAAUGGGCGAAAGCCUGACGCAGCGACGCCGCGUGCGGGAAGAAGGCCUUCGGGUUGUAAACCGCUUUCAGGAGGGACGAAGCCACUCGGGUUAAUAGCCUAGAGGGUGACGGUACCUCCAGAAGAAGCCCCGGCUAACUACGUGCCAGCAGCCGCCGUAACAC
rnacentral:rRNA from 1 species